rnacentral:tRNA from 1 species
GGCCCGUUAGCUCAGUUGGUUAGAGCGUCGUGCUAAUAACGCGAAGGUCGCGGGUUCGAUCCCCUAAGGGCCA